UGUUUGCCUUCAGAAAUGUCUUGGUUAUUCUUGGCCCUUGGUUAGUCUAUACAAACUUUAGGAUCGGUUUGCCAAACUUCAUGAAAAGCUUUGCUGGAAUUCCACCAAAGUGUAUCUAAUCGAGACAGCUUGGACCAGCGAGGACUCACCUGGAAACAAAUCUGGCUGGCCAUCUCAAUUGUGAACUGGGGAAGAAGAGUAGAAUGAGGUCUUCACUGCACACUACAAACUCAUCCUCUGUAUUAUCACAGAAAGGCACACCCUUACAGCCUCUAGAGGGACACUUCCAAAACCCAGACCUUUCUCUAGCUUGGGUUUUUUCCCCCAAGCUUUCACAGGCCACGCUUUGCUGGUAAACAAACAAACAAACA